rnacentral:rRNA from 1 species
GGGGAAUUAGGGUUCGAUUCCGGAGAGGGAGCCUGAGAAACGGCUACCACAUCUAAGGAAGGCAGCAGGCGCGCAAAUUACCCAAUCCUAAUACAGGGAGGUAGUGACAAGAAAUAACAAUACAGGACUUUUUGGUUUUGUAAUUGGAAUGAGUUAAGUAUAAACCCCUUUACAAGUAUCAAUUGGAGGGCAAGUCUGGUGCCAGCAGCCGCGGUAAUUCCAGCUCCAAUAGCGUAUAUUAAAGUUGUUGCAGUUAAAAAGCUCGUAGUUGGAUUUCUGUUAAUAAUUUAUAUAAAAUAUUUUGAUGAAUAUUUAUAUAAUAUUAACAUAAUUCAUAUUACUAUUUUUUUUUUUAGUAUAUGAAAUUUUACUUUGAGAAAAUUAGAGUGCUUAAAGCAGGCAUAUGCCUUGAAUACUCCAGCAUGGAAUAAUAUUAAAGAUUUUUAUCUUUUUUAUUGGUUCUAAGAUAAGAAUAAUGAUUAAUAGGGACACUAG